AUAUAUAUACUGUAUAUAUAUAUAUAUAUAUAUAUAUAUAUAUACUCUGUAUAUAUAGUAUAAAUUAAGAAGGGAAUUAUAGUAGACAUAUAUUACAACUGUAUUGAUAAAGAAUUGAAGUUACUAAUGAAUUACUGUCAAAUAAUACUCUGAGAUACUGUACAGUAAUCCGAUGAAGGUUGUGUUAUAAGUAUAGUCUAUCUCAAACACCUGUAGUAAAAUAUAUAUAAUUUUGACUAGUUGUAAAACAAAAAUAACUGUGAUUGUAAAAUGAUUUAGAGAGAUUCAAUUUAGUUAAAGAUUAUAAGAGGUGAUUUAGAUUAUGUGAGAGCUGUAGACAGAAAGUAAGCGUUGGCCAUUUUGUAACGUUGCAAACCUGAUGUAGAGUUAUUGUUGACCAUUGUAUUUGUAUAAUGUACUCUACAAAGGUACAGAAAGGAACAGAAAGAAAGAUCUACAGAAGUGUAAUACACAUAAGAAAAAUACAGUAGCUUAAGAUGCCAUAAUCAAAGUACUGUAUACUGUAAUAGUCAUCACCUACUCCUCUUCGCUUGUGAUGGAGUUUUAUAAGAAAUAGUUGACUCGGCACCAAUUACACCAUCUUAUCAUGUGUGCUUCUGGUCAUAGGUGUUUACUACUCGUGUGUGAGUACAACUAGGAGAAACAUUUAUAGCUAAUCUAUAAAUAUCUAUGUAUAUUUUUUCAAAUACCAGUAUUCAUAUUAUUUCAUCAGUCACAUAUAUAUAACAUUUCACUAAAAGGAGUUUCACUAUAUUUUUUCUAGAUAUUGAUAAAGAGUCAUCCAUGUUGAGUGGGUGGAAGUACAUGCCAAUUUGUCAUAUUCAGUUGUAUCAUAAAAACAGAUGUAAUUUUAUACAUCUGGUAUCAGUGGCAUUUAUCAAGUGUGCUAUUUACCUCUGAGCUAUGCAUAGACCAAAAUACCUAUUAAUGGUAUGUAGGGAUUUUGUUGUCAGCACAAGUCACAAAUGUCAGCUUGCUUUACUAGGCAACAGUAAUAUGUCUACCAUGGCUUGAUGUUCUUCAUUCUCCCAUUCUGAGUGAACUGCCUCAAGCCUUCCACAGCAACACAGCCUCAGUAACAGUCAGUCUGAGAAAGUCUGUAUAGUUUAGCUUGGUUAAGAGACUCCAGCUCUGGGUAACAUCUUAGCAAGAGUAAUGGCUGUGAUGCUGCAGGUCAAGGUACUGUAUAGUCUUAACACUAAUGUCCACCUCCACAAAUUAUAGUCAAAAAGCCUGUUGUAAGUAGAUUCAACUCAUUCAUCAUUAAACUGUCAAAUUGUCAUGUGAAAUAGAGCACUGUACAUUAACAUCAAACUUCUUCUUUUUUUUAGUAAGUUCCUCUUGCGUGUGACGAGAGCAGAAGUUUAAACAGAGUGAUUGUUGACCUUUUAUAUAGUAUGACAAACCAUACAUUAUGCUAAACAGAUCGUGUACAUAAUAAGUCCAGAAAAAAGACAAACUGAUUCUUCUUGACUUGAGCAGCAAACCAAAAAUUUUGUAGUUUGUGGUUAGGUAGGCCAGCCACUUACUGAUAUACAUUUUUUGAGGAGUGACAGAGGUAUCUUUAGAAGAAAUGAUGCAGCUUAAACAAAUGUAUGGAAGAUUAUGUAGAUGGAGGAUAUUUUAGUGAAAAUAUUUGAAUUGUACAUUCAUUUUUUCGAAGCUGAUUUAGUAUGAUAGAUUAAUAUGACCUUAGUUAUGCGUGGACAUUAAGCAUUGGUGUAAAAAAAAUGUCACUGAAUUUCACUGUGUGUUUAUUCAUUUUGUUUUGGGGACCUCACACCCACAUUAUAGUAUAUUGCUCUCGUGAAGUAAGUCAUCAUAUACUUGAAAGUUAUCACAUUGUUAUAUUUUGUGUGUGUCUACUCUACUGUUCUCACUUCCUCUUAUACUUCUCCCAGUCAUCUCUCUGGUGAGCUUAAGGUAUCAUUCUUAAUUCCCAAAUUUUAAAACCUUAUUUCCCUGAAUGUAAACUGAAAUUAAAUAGUGUAAUUUUAAGUCAUAUUCAUCUGAGUCUGUCAGCAUAUGGUAUUGUUGUUGGGUUGCCAACACUGAAUUUUUUUAAAAAGUCAAAAGUGGUUUCGAGUUUAAUUGGAGGAAGCAGUAAUUGACAGGGGACCUUGGGUUAACUGUGAUUAUUGGAUGACAUGGUGUUCUUGUUACCAUUAGGUAAAUUUGAAGGCUUGAUGUUUCUUAUUGUUCUAACCCAAUUAGCUGGCAAGGUAGGGUCACUACUCCCUGAGGUAAUCAAUAUGUUUACUAUUAGUGCUAUUACUGUAAGAAAUAAUACUGCCGGCAAUCUGUCAGCACUUGCAUAUGGUGGUAUAACAAAUUGAGUUAGUGUUUACUUCUCCACAAACACAUCCUGAGCACUGAGUGAGGUAUGAGUGCAUUUCAGGUAUGAUGGUAUAUUAAUUAUUUUUUAUUUUUUAUUAAUACAUCCUACGAGCCUCUUACCAGCUCACACCUGACUAUUCAACGCUGGAACUUUAAUUACCAAGUCACUGAAAAUCUCCAGAUCCUCUUCUACAUAAGCUAUUGUGUCCAUAUUUCUUAUUGUUGUUCCUCCUUGAUAUUGUUUUCUUUCCAUGUACUGUACACAAUUAUUAUUUAGCUCAAGCAGAUGGUGUACCUGUAUCUUUCUUAUAUAAAUGGAUCCAUUAUACAUGAACACACAGCAAUAAUCAUUCCCAACAUAAUAACUAUCUUUAAAUGUCUUUAGUUUCAUCACAUUAACAAAUCUUCUCCACAAGUGAUUCAUUAAUAAAGUCAUUACCUGUGUUUACCUUGGAGCUGCACCAGAACCUCUGCCACACCUGUCAGCCUUGUUCCUCUCCCCACAACAAGGUUUUAUUUUCUAUGGGUUAUUAAGCUUUUGUUUCAUAAGUCAGUUUCUCCUGUAAACUAUAGUCCAGAUGUAUCUGUAUAUGUAUGUUGUAUUUAACUGUAUUAUUAUUUUUUUCUUGGUAGAUUUGAGAUGUUAUAUUCAGGUGCCAUGUUUUGUAAAAUUAUUAUACCAAAGACUAUAUAAUUAUUCCAUUAUAAUUUUUUAUCUGUGAUAAAUACUCUCAUGUAUUUAAUGGACAUAUCGAUAAUUAAAAUGUUGAUAUUGA